rnacentral:siRNA from 1 species
UACAUAGAGGGUCCGAUUGGUA